UGUCUGGGCCCAGAGGCUGCUCAGUGUUCUAGGUCAGAUCAGACAUUUUGUAACAGUGGCCUGAGAUAAAUACCAACCAACUCAGUAAGCAACAGGUUCGAAUCUUGGCAGAGAUGUAUAUCCUUACUGAUGAAAAUGAAAAUAAAAUUGGGGCUGAGACCAAGAAGAAUUGUCACUUGAAUGAAAACAUUAAGAAAGGGUUAUUGCAUCUGGCUUUUAGUGUCUUCUUAUUCAACACCGAAAAUAAGCUCCUGCUACAGCAGAGGUCAGAUGCUAAGAUUAGCUUUCCAGAUUGUUUUACCAAUACAUGUUGCAGCCACUGGUUACGUAAUCCAGGCGAGCUUGAGGAAAACGAUGCCCUUGGAGUAUGGGGAGCAGCACAGAGGUCUAAAAUUCCCCUGGAAGAGCUUCCCCCAGAAGAAAUUAAUUAUUUGACACAAAUUCACUAGAAGGCCCAGUCUGACAGUGUCUGGGGUGAACAUGAAAUUGAUUACAUUCUGUUUGUGAGGAAAAAUGUGAUGUGGAAUCCGCCUCCCAAUGAGGUUAAAAGCUAUUGUUAUGUGUCAAAGGAAGAACUAGAAGAACCUCUGAAAAAAGCUACCAGUGGUGAAAUUAAGAAGACACUUUGGUUUAAAAUUAUUGUAGAGACUUUUCUCUUUAAAUGGUGGGAUAACUUAAAUCAUUUGAGCCAGUUUGUUGACCACAAGAAAAUACCUAGAGUGUGAAGGUAGAGGUGAACCAUUACUGCAGAAUUUCUCUGCUUAGUAAACUUAGAAUGACUUUUAAAAAAAAUUUGGUUC